AAGUCGUAACAAGGUUUCCGUAGGUGAACCUGCGGAAGGAUCAUUAACGAAUUGUUCGAAUUUCUAUGCGGACAUUCAUUAAAUCCGUAUCCACACCGGCUGGGGGUCUAUUUGAUUAGACUCUUGGCCGUAGGGGGUGGUUUUUCUUGGGUCGACUUUCGGCCCAGGAGGAAGCAUCCCUGUCUGACCUUUGCCUAAAAUUGAUCUUUUUGACUGAAACUUUUUGAUAAAAAUCAAAUCAAAAACAACUUUCAACAACGGAUCUCUUGGCUCUC
rnacentral:misc_RNA from 1 species